CUUCUGAGAUAUGUCAAAGCCUGACUUUGUCAUAUCUCAGAAGUUAAGCAGGACUGAGCCUGGUUAGUACUCUGAUGGGAGACCACUAACAAAAACAGGUGCCACAGUGGG
rnacentral:rRNA from 1 species